rnacentral:lncRNA from 1 species
AUAGAAAACCAACAACACUGAAAAUGCAUCACUUCAUAUUCACAUUGCCACGUUCAGAACCAAAGCAAAAAAACCAUGACCCAAGUUCCAAUUUUAGAGCAGCUUAUGUUAACAGACUAAACAACCAUAACAUGAUUGCCUUGUCAACGUUAAGCGAAUCAGUCGACUUAAAACAACAGUUGUGUGACAUCUUCAAAAAUCCAUACCAUCUCAAUACUCAAACACAUAUCACUGAUGAGAGUAGAUGCAGUCAAUAAGAAAUUCGAUCAUAACACAAAAAAACCACCCUAGAUUGAAUCUCAUAGCUCAAAAUACAAUGAAACAAAAUAGAAUCGCAAGAACAGAGAGAUGAAGACUGAACCUGUAAUUUCGAACUUCUUUUGAUAACAAAAUCGAAAACGAUUACACAGUUUCGACUCCAAACCUUCAGCAGUAAAAUAAUAGCAGGUCAAGGCUCGGAGCACAGCCAAACCAGUAGCAAAGACGAGCAGCAAUCAGAAGUUUAGACAGCAACGAACUCAGCAGCUUUCAAUCGAACUCCAUUUUAAGAACCAAAAUCAAAACAAAUAUUGAAAUCUUUUGGUGAUUUUCUAAUUUCUUCUGAAAUGAAACUCAAAUAAAAAUCAAACCCAAACUAUUUUUUUUUAUUUUUCUUUUUCUAAAAUGCAACACCAACGUGAAGAGAAAGAAAGCAAAGAACCCUAGAACCCUUUUUACCUCUCCGAAAUAUUUUUAGCCCCCUUCACCAAAUUGGAUCAAAUCUAUUUUGAAGACCAUUACUUAAUGAAUGUGGGGCUCAGAUUGAGUGAAAUCAAUCCAACGGCUCACACCCAUCCAGCAUUCGUCUUCCAGACCAUUCCAAUCGCGUGUUUAAACUCGAAUUCGAGCGAGUGGGAGGAGGAGGAAUCUUGGCGUCAGAAACCAUUAGCAACGGUAAGAUGAGAGAAGGAGGGAUGCGUGGGUUAGGGAUUUGGGAUCAUCGCCAUGGAUUUGGCCUGAAAUGGGACUGGAGUGAAAUCAAUCCAAAGCCUCAAACUCAUCCAGCAUUCGUCUUCCAUACCCUUCCAAUCGCAUGUUAAAACUCGAAUUUGAGCGAGUGAGAGGGGAGGGGAAUCUUGCGCCAGAAACCGUUAGCAACGGCAAGAUGAGAGAAGGAGGGACGCGUGGGUUAGAGAUUUGAGAUCACUCGCCAUGGAUUUGGCCUGAAAUGUGACUGGACUCGAGUGAAGAAGGCAAUUGAACAGUUCGUUUAGGAUUUAGGGCUCUGGGGGUCCCCGUAUGGUUGUGUG